AGGACGAACGCUGGCGGCGUGCUUAACACAUGCAAGUCGAGCGGAAAGGCCCUUCGGGGUACUCGAGCGGCGAACGGGUGAGCAACACGUGGGCAACCUGCCCUUAGCUCUGGGAUAGCUCCGGGAAACCGGAAUUAAUACCGGAUAUGACCUAGGCCGACAUCGGCCGUGGUGGAAAGUUUUUCGGCUAGGGAUGGACUCGCGGCCUAUCAGCUAGUUGGUGGGGUAAUGGCCUACCAAGGCGACGACGGGUAGCCGGCCUGAGAGGGCGACCGGCCACACUGGGACUGAGACACGGCCCAGACUCCUACGGGAGGCAGCAGUGGGGAAUCUUGCGCAAUGGGCGAAAGCCUGACGCAGCGACGCCGCGUGGGGGAUGAAGGCCUUCGGGUUGUAAACCCCUUUCAGCAGGGACGAAGCGAAAGUGACGGUACCUGCAGAAGAAGCGCCGGCUAACUACGCGCCAGCAGCCGC
rnacentral:rRNA from 1 species